CCCCUAGAUGUUCUGGGCCGCACGCGCGCUACACUGAACAGUUCAACAAGUCUUAACCUUGGCCGAUAGGUCUGGGUAAUCUUUGAACGCUGUUCGUGAUUGGGAUAGACCUUUGCAAUUAUGGGUCUUCAACGAGGAAUUCCUAGUAAACGCAAGUCAUCAGCUUGCAUUGAUUACGUCCCUGCCCUUUGUACACACCGCCCGUCGCACCUACCGAUUGAACGUUUUAGUGAGGUACUCGGACUGAGCCUCAGAAGAUUCACGUCUUUUGUGCUGCUCGGGAAGAUUCCCAAACUUGNGNGUUUAUNGGAAGUAAAANUCGUANCA
rnacentral:rRNA from 1 species